rnacentral:rRNA from 1 species
UACGUAGGGUGCAAGCGUUAAUCGGAAUUACUGGGCGUAAAGCGUGCGCAGGCGGUUUUGUAAGUCAGAUGUGAAAUCCCCGGGCUUAACCUGGGAACUGCAUUUGUGACUGCAUCGCUGGAGUGCGGCAGAGGGGGAUGGAAUUCCGCGUGUAGCGGUGGAAUGCGCAGAUAUCAGGAGGAACACCAAUAGCGAAGGCAGCUCGCUGGGACGUUACUGACACUGAGGCGCGAAAGCGUGGGGAGCGAACAGG